UACGUAGGGUGCAAGCGUUAUUCGGAAUUACUGGGCGUAAAGGGAGCGUAGGCGGGAGAGUAAGUUAGGAGUGAAAUUUACGGGCUCAACCUGUAAAGUGCUUUUAAUACUGCUUUUCUUGAGUAUUGGAGAGGUAGACGGAAUUCCAGGUGUAGCGGUGGAAUGCGUAGAUAUCUGGAAGAACACCAGUUGCGAAGGCGGUCUACUGGCCAAAUACUGACGCUGAGGCUCGAAAGGUAGGGGAGCAAACAGG
rnacentral:rRNA from 1 species